GGAGCUAUGGCUUGGUGGCAGAGCACCUGUUUUGCAUCCAGAAGAUCCCAGGUUCAAUCCUUGGCAUCUCCA
rnacentral:tRNA from 1 species